GACGAACGCUGGCGGCGUGCUUAACACAUGCAAGUCGAGCGAUGAAGUUCCUUCGGGAAUGGAUUAGCGGCGGACGGGUGAGUAACACGUGGGUAACCUGCCUCAUAUAGGGGAAUAGCCUUCCGAAAGGAAGAUUAAUACCGCAUAAGAUUGUAGUAUCGCAUGAUACAGCAAUUAAAGGAGCAAUCCGCUAUGAGAUGGACCCGCGUCGCAUUAGCUAGUUGGUGAGGUAACGGCUCACCAAGGCGACAAUGCGUAGCCGACCUGGGAGGGUGAUCGGCCACAUUGGGACUGAGACACGGCCCAGACUCCUACGGGAGGCAGCAGUGGGGAAUAUUGCACAAUGGGGGAAACCCUGAUGCAGCAACGCCGCGUGAGUGAUGACGGUCUUCGGAUUGUAAAGCUCUGUCUUCAGGGACGAUAAUGACGGUACCUGAGGAGGAAGCCACGGCUAACUACGUGCCAGCCGCCGCCGUAA
rnacentral:rRNA from 1 species